rnacentral:lncRNA from 1 species
UUACUUAAAACCUUUAAGAGAAAUAUAAUUUAGAAAUCAACAAUAUUAUAAGACCUUUUAUCUAAAGAUGCUAUACAAACUAACACACACAAAGUUGGCUUAAAACAAUGUCUUACAACAUUCUUGAAACAACAAAAUCUACGAACUUUGAUACAACUAAACCAGUCAACUUUUUUGAAACACCAAUCAUGGUGUCCUACUUUCUGAGUAUUACCAAGAAUAGCAAACAACUUGUGAAUACCACACAAACAACAUGAUCAACAACGAGCUUAUGACUUCACCCUAUUAGUGACUAAAGCCGAUGUACAAAUCAGAAUAGCACUAAACCCCCAUAUACUGAGUAAAUCUUCAAUCCAACAAUGAAUGUAAUAUAUCCCUCUGCUUCCUUCACCUUUCAGAAUAAUCUCAGAAAAUCAAUUGCAAAUCAUAACUUAAUAAACAAAUUUUGAACUCAAAUAGAAGGAAAAUCGGACCAAAUCGAACUACAACAGGUACACUAAUUUCUAUUGUGAACGAACUCCAACAACAGACAACAGUGCACAAAAAUCACGCUGAAACAAACAAAAAAAUCCGAUUAAGAGAAAUUAAAAUAAGAAUAAGAGGAAAUCAAACUCACCCAAAUCAAAAUAAAAGAAAUAAGAAAUCAAAAACCUUAAAACCAUCUGAUUUUGGUGCCCUCGGUGGUUUGCUUUAGAAUUAAAAACAAUAAAUAAAAACACUCACCCAAUUCAUAGGAAUUAGAAGAAACAAGAAGAAAUAAGAUUUAGAGGGAUAUAUGUGUAAUCGGUAUAAGUUCAUCGAUUUAAAGGCUGCCUCCUUGAUCUCUAUAGUGUACGUUAUUCAAGGGCAUCGUCGAUUGGAUUUGGCGAUUACAAUUCUCAAGGUGCUUCAAACCUAAUUAUUUAGUGCCCAUGCUCGCCUCGCCUAGACACCGGUGUUUUGUCGAUAGAAAUAAAUAUUGGGUUAAAC